rnacentral:rRNA from 1 species
UACAGAGGUCUCAAGCGUUGUUCGGAUUCAUUGGGCGUAAAGGGUGCGUAGGUGGCGCCGUAAGUCGGGUGUGAAAUUCGGAGCUUAACUCCGAAACUGCAUUCGAUACUGCGGUGCUUGAGGACUGGAGAGGAGACUGGAAUUCGAUGGUGUAGCAGUGAAAUGCGUAGAGAAUCAUGAGGAAGACCAGUGGCGAAGGCGGGUCUCUGGACAGUUCCUGACACUGAGGCACGAAGGCCAGGGGAGCAAACGGG